rnacentral:rRNA from 1 species
GAGUAACGCGUGAGGAACCUGCCUCAAAGAGGGGGACAACAGUUGGAAACGACUGCUAAUACCGCAUAAGCCCACAGGUCGGCAUCGACCAGAGGGAAAAGGAGCAAUCCGCUUUGAGAUGGCCUCGCGUCCGAUUAGCUAGUUGGUGAGGUAAUGGCCCACCAAGGCAACGAUCGGUAGCCGGACUGAGAGGUUGAACGGCCACAUUGGGACUGAGACACGGCCCAGACUCCUACGGGAGGCAGCAGUGGGGAAUAUUGCACAAUGGGGGAAACCCUGAUGCAGCGACGCCGCGUGGAGGAAGAAGGUCUUCGGAUUGUAAACUCCUGUUGUUGAGGAAGAUAAUGACGGUACUCAACAAGGAAGUGACGGCUAACUACGUGCCAGCAGCCGCGGUAAAACGUAGGUCACAAGUGUUGUCCGGAAUUACUGGGUGUAAAGGGAGCGCAGGCGGGAAGACAAGUUGGAAGUGAAAUCUAUGGGCUCAACCCAUAAACUGCUUUCAAAACUGUUUUUCUUGAGUAGUGCAGAGGUAGGCGGAAUUCCCGGUGUAGCGGUGGAAUGCGUAGAUAUCGGGAGGAACACCAGUGGCGAAGGCGGCCUACUGGGCACCAACUGACGCUGAGGCUCGAAAGUGUGGGUAGCAAACAGGAUUAGAUACCCUGGUAGUCCACACCGUAAACGAUGAUUACUAGGUGUUGGAGGAUUGACCCCUUCAGUGCCGCAG